UGACGAGAACGGACGGUAGCGCAGGAAUAAGUCUCGGCUAACUACGUGCCAGCAGCCGCGGUAAAACGUAGGAGGCGAGCGUUAUCCGGAGUUACUGGGCGUAAAGCGCGUGUAGGCGGCACAGAGGGUCUGAUGUGAAAGCUCCCAGGCUAAACCGGGAGAGGUCAUUGGAAACCGCUGUGCUAGAGGGUGAUAGAGGGGCGUGGAAUUCCGGGUGUAGUGGUGAAAUGCGUAGAGAUCCGGAGGAACACCAGUGGCGAAGGCGGCGCCCUGGGUCACACCUGACGCUGAGACGCGACAGCAUGGGGAGCGAACGGGAUUAGAAACCCCGGUAGUCCAUGCCGUAAACGAUGCACACUGGGUGUGCGGGCGGGGAAACCCGUUUGCGUGCCGAAGUUAACACGGUAAGUGUGCCGCCUGGGGAGUACGGUCGCAAGGCUAAAACUCAAAGGAAUUGACGGGGCCCGCACAAGCAGCGGAGCGUGUGGUUUAAUUCGAGGCUACGCGAAGAACCUUACCCAGGCUUGACAUCCUCUGAACGACGUGGAAACACGAAGGUGCCCUCGGGCCAGAGUGACAGGUGCUGCAUGGCUGUCGUCAGCUCGUGCCGUGAGGUGUUCGGUUAAGUCCGCAAACGAGCGCAACCCCUGUGGUCAGUUAUACGUGUCUGGCCAGACUGCCCGUGAGAAACGGGAGGAAGGUGGGGAUGACGUCAAGUCAGCAUGGCCUUUAUGUCUGGGGCUACACACACGCUACAAUGGCGCGUACAGUGGGCAGCCAAGGCGCAAGCCGGAGCGAAUCCCCCAAAGCGCGUCGUAGUUCGGAUGGCAGGCUGCAACUCGCCUGCC
rnacentral:rRNA from 1 species